AGCCUUUUCGAGGGAGCCAUCCAUAUCCUGCCAGGACCCUGACCAGUUCAACACUAUAAUUUGGGCAUAGCUGGUGUGGCCGUACAGCAGCGCAGUGUGGCCCUUUCAUCCCCAGAGCUGCAAGAUGGAUAGUCCACCUCCAGGCAUCCAGGCUGGAUUUCAGACAGGAAGAAAUGGCAAAAGGCACCAGACGGCUUUUUGCCAGGAACACAAUAGCCUGUUAGGAAGUCACAGACAGUAGGAUGUCUGAGGAGUUUUGCUUUCUGAGGUUCUGUGACCCUGAGUCAACGUAGUCGGGAAGUGGACAUCCCCCUUCUGAUGAUGGAUGGUCGGAAGACGAUGUGGCCAAACACUACGUCAUAAUGCCUGCACCACUCACGUGGCUUCAUUCACUUCAUCUCAUCCCAUGGUCAUUUGCUCAUCUCACAUCAUCACAAGAAGAAGUCUGAGCACAGUACAGUGAGGUCUUUUGAGAGAGAAACACCACAUUCACAUAGCUUUUGUUUCCA